AGCAUAAAAAUUAUAGAAGGUGGGGGUUAAAAUUUGAAAUAUUCAAAAGGCAAAUCCUUGAUAACCACAUCAUACAUAAAUUUUAUACAAUGUUAUUACCCUCUUUCAUUUGAGUAGUUAAUACAAACCUAAUAAAACAUCUUCCUCCCGUAACAACAUGGUAAACGUCUUAUUAAAAUUCGACCGAAAUGUUAUCACUCCCAUCCGCGUACAAAAGCACUCUAAUGCCGUGUUUGAGUUUAUUUGGUCUACAGCGAGACGAUAAACGUGUUCGAAAGUAGCAGGAAUAAGACAUAUA